UACGUAGGGGGCGAGCGUUGUCCGGAUUUAUUGGGCGUAAAGAGCUCGUAGGCGGUUCGAUAAGUCGGACGUGAAAUCUCCACGCUCAACGUGGAGGGGCCGUUCGAUACUGUCGUGACUCGAGUCCGGUAGGGGAGUGUGGAAUUCCCGGUGUAGCGGUGAAAUGCGCAGAGAUCGGGAGGAACACCCGUAGCGAAGGCGGCACUCUGGGCCGGUACUGACGCUGAGGAGCGAAAGCCAGGGGAGCAAACGGG
rnacentral:rRNA from 1 species